AUAACUUUAUCUUGUGACAAGUUGACAUAAAACUACCAAGCACAAAUUAGCAUGACUCUUGUGCAAGGAUGACACAGAAAUUUGUGAAGCAUUCCAUAUUUUU